UGGGGAAUAUUGGGCAAUGGACGCAAGUCUGACCCAGCCAUGCCGCGUGAGUGAUGAAGGCCUUAGGGUUGUAAAGCUCUUUCGGUAGUGAAGAUGAUGACUGUAACUACUAAAGAAGCCCCGGCUAACUUCGUGCCAGCAGCCGCGGUAAUACGAAGGGGGCUAGCGUUGUUCGGAUUUACUGGGCGUAAAGCGCACGCAGGCGGCUAAACAAGUCAGAGGUGAAAUCCCAAGGCUCAACCUUGGAACUGCCUUUGAAACUGUUUAGCUAGAGAUCGAGAGAGGAUAGUGGAAUUCCUAGUGUAGAGGUGAAAUUCGUAGAUAUUAGGAGGAACACCAGUGGCGAAGGCGGCUAUCUGGCUCGAUACUGACGCUCAUGUGCGAAAGCGUGGGGAGCAAACAGG
rnacentral:rRNA from 1 species